GGUUACCAGUGAGGUUUGAAACCACGACCCUGGUUUAUUUAGGACCAGUGCUCUAACCACUGAGCUAUGGUGGC